rnacentral:rRNA from 1 species
CUAUGAUGGGGAUAACAGUUGGAAACGACUGCUAAUACCGAAUACGCUCAUGAUGAACUUUAUGAGGAAAGGUGGCCUCUGCUUGCAAGCUAUCGCAUAGAGAUGAGUCCGCGUCCCAUUAGCUAGUUGGUGGGGUAACGGCCUACCAAGGCAACGAUGGGUAGCCGAUCUGAGAGGAUGAUCGGCCACACUGGAACUGAAACACGGUCCAG